AAUAUUCGGAACACAUGUACUGUUUGGCGGUCCAUAGAGACACGAAUGGGAAUUAAUUAAUGUUCGCGCAUGCCCAGUGAUGGUUGUACAUGUGCAGUGAUAGUGCGUGUAAUCCCCUUAACCCGGCUUAUAGUGAUACGAUUUCAUAACACGGCAGAGAUGGAGUAUGGCUCCGUCCAUAGUGUAUUAUAAUCUAAGUAAAUAACAAGAUUAUGGUAAUAUUCGUGAUGAACCAAUAUAUGCUUUCCGUGGAAAUACUGAGAGAUAUCUGAGACGAUGUCUAAUUUUCGGUCAAAGCUCAGUUUACUAUCAAUAAGGCCACGCUGUGAACGAAUAACUCCUUCUCAUGGAAUUAUUUUUACCGUUGGUUUUACUAUGAUCGGCGUUUUGUUCUUGUUCUUUUGUCGAAUUAUCUAUCGUU